rnacentral:lncRNA from 1 species
UGUGCGUAUUGUUAUUCUUUUACUUUUCUACAUUGGCUAGAGGUAUAGGGGGAGGGUUGAGAUCUCAUAAACAUGUUUAACCCCGCCGCAAUUUUGCGCCUGUCCCAAGUCAGGAGCCUCUGGCCUUUGUUAGUCUUGUAUGAUUUUAAAAUUUUAGUUCCUUGUGUGUAAUUCGGAGUUUGGUAUGACGUCCAUUAUCACUGUACUAUUAUGCAUAUUUUAGGGGCCAGCUGAAGGACACCUCCGGGUGCGGGAAUUCUCGCUGCAUUGAAGACCCAUUGGUUGCCUUCGGCUGUUGUUUGCUCUAUGGUCGGGUGGUUGUCGCUUUGACAUAUUCACCAUUUCCUUUCUCAAUUUUA